UACGUAGGGUGCAAGCGUUGUCCGGAAUUAUUGGGCGUAAAGAGCUCGUAGGCGGUUUGUCGCGUCUGCUGUGAAAACCUAAGGCUCAACCUUGGGCUUGCAGUGGGUACGGGCAGACUAGAGUGCGGUAGGGGUGACUGGAAUUCCUGGUGUAGCGGUGGAAUGCGCAGAUAUCAGGAGGAACACCAAUGGCGAAGGCAGAUCUCUGGGCCGUAACUGACGCUGGAGGAGCGGAAAAGCCAUGGGGGAGCGAACAGG
rnacentral:rRNA from 1 species